rnacentral:tRNA from 1 species
ACGCCCAUAGCUCAACUGGAUAGAGCGUUAGACUACGGAUCUAAAGGUUGGGGGUUCAAAUCCCUUUGGGCGUGCCA